CACAACACCCAAAUCUUACCUAAUGUCGUUUGUUUGGUGCUUUGAUGUCCUGAGAAGCUUGUGAAUCACUCGACCCUUACUUCCAUGUCAAUUGGGUCUUUAUAUCUUCAUCCUACACACUCAAUUAAACAAAUUAGCACAACCUAAGGCCUGUGUUGGCUUAUUAGGUCAUAACACCUACAAAAUGUGUUAAAAAACACUUAUUUUAUUAAUUUUCUAUCCUAAAGCCUAAAUACUGAUGUAAGAGGCCCAAUUUGCCCGGGCCCAAAAUCACAAAGAAAUAAAAACCAAAAAAAUAAUUAAAUGUUCACAAAGUCCAAUUACAAAAAGAAGCCCAGAUUCUAUUACCCUAAUUACAAAUCAGCUAAAUCUAACCCGAACGGCCCAAAUCCCUAGCCCGUUUCUAGAAACCCAGCCCAGUUGCAUUGAAGCCCAAAACAAAAAACACAAGCAGAAACCCUAGGGCAUCUGCAAACUCCAGCCGCCGCAUGUGGAAACCAAUUUCGUCUACGCGCGUGUGCUAGCAGUCACUGUCCCUCCGCACGCACCAGGCGCGUCCUUCCUCUAGGUUGGCUGAGCACCGUACACCUGCAACACAAACGAAAAAAUGAACGCAACGCACACAGCAACAGACAACAAAAGCAGAAUAGCAGAGAAAAAGGGGAUUUUUAGAAAAAAAAUCUUGUAAAAGCUUGAUUUAUUCCCGGCUAUAUAAAAGCCGUUUUGGAAUUUGUAAAAAGGGGGGAUCCUUUUUUUUACGCAUUCAAUAUAAAAAUUGAGAAUACAGAGAAAAAAAAGCAGAGAAAGGUGAUUUUCGGGAGUUUUUUGUUCUUUUCUAUUUUUCUUCGCUGGUUACUUGAUUUUUUUUGUUGCUUUCUUUUGCUAGUUUUUUAGAUUCAUCAAUCGUUUUAUAAAAGAGAAACAAAAAAAAGGGGGAAGUUAGGACUCGUACCUGGC
rnacentral:lncRNA from 1 species